rnacentral:miRNA from 1 species
AGGAAGGAAGGAAGGAAGGAAGGAAGGAAGGAAGGAAAGAAAGUGGCUUUCUCUUUUCCUUCCUUCCUUCCUUCCUUCCUUCCUUCCUUCCUUCCU